AGAGACCAUGAAUCAGGAGGUGCCACAAGCCUUAGCUCUGCCCACACCUGACACAGCAAAAAGCGUCUCUGUCCUGGCUGGCAGUUCAUCAGUUGAACCUGAGGAAGAGAGAAAGGAGCAUCUUGCAGCAGCCUCACGGCCCAGCAGCCGGAGAACAUCCCUACGGAGUUCCAGCAGAACCUUCUGGAAGAUCUCCAAAGGCCCAUCAGCUCAGGGAAUGGCAAAGAACCCCACAUCUGUCAAAUCCCAGGCAUCUCCUUCUGCAAAGUAUGUUCAAAAUAAAAGCCACAGUAAACAGAGUCUCCAGGCCAAAACUCCCUCCAUGCAGGAUCUUCAUUCAAGAAGACUUGAAGAGGAAGGAGGGGAUACUUGUGCCACCAAAGACCCAGCAGUGGGGCACAAACUAAGAGGGAGGAACAGCGGUUUCCACCUCUCUGCAAUAUCCAGGCAGAAGGAGGCGGAGGACAAACCAAGCUCAAAUGCCAAAGAGCCAGCAGCAGGCCAGCACCGAACACUGGGGCCUAGGGUGUCUGGAUCUCCCCAGAAGAGCACCAAGGCCAGCUACAAAGAGGCCAAGAAAACCCGCUGCAGAUUAAGUACCAAAGAGUCCUUAGCAUCAUUAGGGCAAGAUGUGAAAGCAGAGGGGAAGCUUCUUCUGGGGAAGAGAAACACCUUGAUGCACGCUAACAGCAAAUAUAAAUCUGUCAAUGCAGAUGAACUUACCAGCAGUGAAGAGGAACGGCAGGCUCUGUGCAAGGCAGGAUUAAUCAUGGGGCAGAAAAGGCUCAGCGACCGCACUGAGAUGCUACAAAACCCCCUGACCGCUACAUCUUUUGCUGAUUACUACCAGCUGGGUUUUAACCUGAGGUCAAAUAUCUUCCAAGGUGGCCCACUGGAGAGCAGAAGCUUGAUGAAAGAUUCCUACACCCCCGAUGUAAUUCAGAAAGCAAUCAGAGAUCCCAAGAAUUGGCAUGGAAGGAGGACUGAUGAGCUAGGGAGAUGGCAUCAGAAAAAUGCCCUAAAUCUUAACCUGCAGAAAGCCUUUGAAGAGAAAUAUGGGAAGAACAAAGGCAAACCUUAGAAGAAUAAGGUUAGGGAUUGGAGUGCUUUCAGCAAGUUCUUCCUCAACCGUCUAAUAAACCUCCAUAUAAGCCUUCUGCCAAUUGCUUGCUAGGUGUCAACAGCAGGUGUGUUGGUGCUCUCUUCUCCUCCCAAUUAGGGAGUCUUCUGGAAGAGGAAUGCCAGAGAAACCUGAAUGUGCAUGGAAAAAAAAAUCGCUUUGUUGGUCACUGGCUCCUGCCUUCCAGCCCCAUAGACUGUACCAGGUUGGCCCAGCAAUCGCAAAGUACCUGUCUGGGAAGGGAGAUGCUCUGAUCCUUCCCCUCUGCUCCCAAGCUUUCCCCAUUUUAAAAGACUGAUAUUUUGCUGCUACUUGAUACAAACUGCUUCAGGACAGAAUUAGGAUUGAUACACCACUCUUUGUCAGUUUUGGCUUAGAUGAGAAUGUGCUGACUACAUAAAAGUAGUGAAGUAAGUUAAAAUAUAACUAUGAUUAUCAUGUGAUAAUCAUUUUCCACCAGCAGUAAUUAACCAUUUGGAAUUCAGAUGUUUCCAGGCACGUGCCCAAGUCUUUCAAACUAAGGAGACUGGCCAAAUGGCAAUGUGUAUAAAUCUCCCUGCGGGUUUCCUUGGGCAUCAGUACGAGAGGUCCCUGUCUGUGCACACAGCACUCUGGCUUUAGCUGGACAGCAGGGCUCUGUAGCACCACCCUGUUCUGCAUGUUGCAUGCAGCACUGAUGACCAGCAUGACUCCAAGUACAUAACAAAUGCUGUCCUCUGAGCCUGCAGCAAGUCGUAAUCCAGAAUCAAUGGACCUGAAGAGAAACCUACUGACAUUAUUUGGCAUACUAAAAGCAGAAAGUCCAGGGCACAGUUAGCUAACACAGAUAUAAGAUCUUAAUAUAAAGGCUGAAUCGGCAUACAAGUUUACAGGUCUCUUUCUAGUGGUCUAGGCAGACAGAGUGCAAAAUUCUGGUACAGUUUGGAAAAAAUGCAAUUUGCUAUCCAUGAAAGGCUAAGGAAAGUGUCUUAAUGGUGCAUCACUAUACUGUGCCACAAACUGUGAUGUUUGUCUCUUGCUGUGAAGAACAAUAAUAUCACUUUACACACUUUUUACAAAUAAAAAUAAUAUGUUUAUAAGCACAAUAAUGCAAAAUAGUUGACACUGUGUAAUGCAGUCAAAUGGAUGCCAUCCGAUCGAUGCCAAAUGGAUGCAUACACAUGGUAAUCUCCUUUCCUCUUCCUCUCUGCUUUGCCAAAUGAUACAGCACAGCCAGAGGCAAUCACGUUCUGAUAGGUGAUGCAUCGACAGGUGCAGAGAUAACUGAGAUAGCUUUCAAUGAGACAGCUCAGCUACUGGAAGCAAUCAAUACCUGAAGUCACGGAACGCUGAACAGACUGGUUGACUGAUUUACCGAGAACCAUGGUGAGGUGUGUUACCCUAAGCAGCACUCCAUAAUGCCUAGAGUGCUUUGGAUACCCAAACAAGCAUGUUUAAAGCCAGCUUGGGAAUUUCCAAAUAGCAUAUCAGAUGCGGUUAGACAAGACAGCUGAGCUGAAAUGAGUGCUCAUUGCUGCUCAAAGUCUCCCACCCAUCCCUCUGCUGUUCGUUCCUGCUUGUUUUUUUGUGCUGGUGCUGACACUUACCUGCCCUCACUCCAAACUGAUUCAACUUGAUAAACCAGCAAAAAUCAAUGCAGAAGAAGAAAGCAAAGUUAACAGGUUAACCAAUUAAAUUUGCUUAGCGAAGGAUCUUGUUACAGGCAAGGCAGAUAGUGGUGGGGCUUGCAGAUGUGGAGGAACAGGAGUGGAGAGGGAAAUGGCCUUUCACUUUUUGCCUUUUUUUAUGCAGUGAGACGUUAGACCUCUGCUAUAUUGUCUCACUGAACUCAGCACGUUGCAAUGUAGAUAGCUUGUAUUUAAGUGAUCUUGCAAGGCCUGAGCAUUGGGUG